rnacentral:lncRNA from 1 species
AAAGUGUGUCGAUGGGUUUGAUUGGUCCAACCACAAACCGGAAACACGUUUACAAUAUUUUAUCAACAUUUCCAUUUUCUAGAAUCGUACUGAUAAAAUUAUACAGCAAGCCCGUUUAAUCUAAAGGUAAAUGACGAAAUUGUGCAUAAUUAUCAAUAAAACAAGUUUAUCACUUAUAUAAACAAUAGCAAGUUGAAGAGCGGCUAAUGAAACACCAAUGAAAAAUUAUAAAAGGGGGAGGGGUGUGUUUCAACAAAUUUUAUACAUGUACGUUUUCGUUUGUCGUGACCCUGCGAAUGACACAAAGUCUAGCAAUGAAUAAUUUCGUCUCUAUGACUAGACUUAGUUUUGGUUAAGGCACAAACCUGUUGUGGAAGAAAAGUAAGAUUUAUGUCAGGACAAAAUGCCUUUAUAAAAUGUCAAUGUAUUGCAAACAUGUAUGAAGGUGGUAUAGGCAGUUCUGAACACAGAAUCAUAUAAAAUGAAAAUCGCUAAAACGUUGCACGUUUGCAGGAUAAACUAGACAUAAUGUUUGUUCUGUAUGUACUUAAUCACAAUUACCCAAAUGACAGCAGUGCUGAUUGUCAAUUAUGAGUUUCAAUUUGCCAAACGUACGAAUGAUGUUCACUAAAUCAAUAGCUUUUGACGGAAAUGCAUUGAACUAGGGAGUUGUCUAUCAUGCAGUCAUUAUUAAAAAUAAAGGCGCUGUGGUCACCUUUUAGCGUCCAUUAGUCAUGUUAGUUGCAUUUGAUUUAAAAAAAGAUAUUAUUCAUAGUAGUUUCAUGGACUUUAUUGCAUACCAUAUAUAAACAAUAUCUGGGCCAACUUUAGUCUGAUUUACCUUUGAAUCAAAUGCCAGACAAGCACAAGAAAUGAAGAGGCCCGACACUCAACAGGGAAAAUAAUUAAUUGGAAAAACGAAGCACACACAUCACACCAAACAUGAGAAAACCAGGAAUAAAAGGUAAAAACACAAAAAACACCUGAAAUAAAAUUACCGAAAAUGUUGCACAAAAAUAACCCUUUACCACCCUUACAUGUAUUUACAUGUAUGUAUGUAUGAUGUUCAAGUGUAAAUAAAAUGGGAAUGGGAAUGGCCCUUGGGCCUUGGGGAAUAUGUCAAAGAGAGAACAACCCGUUCAAAGAGCAUAAAACAGGCGAAGGCCACCAAUGGGUCUUCAACACUGCGUAAAAAUUCCACACCCUUAACCUGCUCCUAAAUAAAAAUGUAUACUAGUACUACAUGUAGUUCAGUGAAAAUGGACGUCGCAUAAAACAUGCAUGUAAAGUCUGAUGGGAUUAUAUAACCCUGUAUCUAGUACUCUGCUAAAUAGAGUUACUCACAGUGGAGCAGCAUCAAAUGAUUCAUUCAAUGCACACUUAUUAAAUAAAAUAAAUGUGUGCAUGUGGAUACUUUAGGUUAACAAGAACUAAAUUCAAAAUGAGGUAUAUUCUUGUAUGAAAUACUGUGAAUUGAAACAUCACAAACAAUGAAAACUUGUCCUACUUUAAAAUUUCCAGUUUUUCUGUAUUUUAUGUGAAAAUUCUUUAUUUGUAUGGUGAAUACUGGCCUACACCACACUUCUGCAAAACACAUCCCUUAGGCCUGCAAAUGAUGAAAAAAAUAUCAUACAGAAGCAACAGCUGGGGUGACACACUUGCUACGUUUUUGUAUUUAAGUGACCUAUUUAAAAGUGUGCAAAUGAAAGAAACAUCCAUAACAUUUUUUUUGCAUCAUUAAAAAGGGUUUUAAAGGUCAGUUUUAAAUGUAACUUUGAAUUCAGUUAGAGUAAAAAGCACAAUAUUAUUCUCUUUAACAAAUGUUCUUAUCUUACAAGUUAUAUAACAUGUCUUAUAACUUGUUAAAAAUGAAUAUCUGUAUUCUGAGAUUUGUUUCACCCUUUUCUGAUGAAUAUUAUUAACAAUUGUAUUUUACAGAUAAAUAAAAGACAGAAGUCACAUUCUUAAAAGAUUUAGUGCACAUUUUUGUACAAAAUGUAUAUGCACAAUCAUGAUCUGAAAAGAUAGUCAUGGUCAUACUCAGAUGAUAUAUAUAAAUCAUGCACUAUUGAAAAUUCUUGCAUUAUGGAAAAUCAUGAUUAUUUUCCAAUUUAAAAAUUCAAUUAAUAAUUUCUUUUAAAUAGGAAAAUGGUAUCAGAUGUACAGCUAGCAAUCUUUGCCAAUGCUCUUGGAGUGUCACUCUUUCUGUUGGUAGUAUUGUAUCAUUAUAUUAGUGUCAACAACAUAAAGAAACAUGACUAAAGAUAGAUCUUAUGGUGAGUAAUUAUGUAUAUUUUAUUUCUGUCCAGAAUAUAACUUAGUUGGCCUUUCAUUUGGGCAGUCUUUCGUUUGGCUAGUUUGUAUUUAGCAGAAUACAUGUAGAAAAUAACCACUUUUGUUACUUCUGGAAUUGCCUACUCAACCAUAUGAUAUCAUGCUAAAAAUUUAUUGUAUAAAGUUCAUUAUUCAUCUUUCAAAAUUUGGAGAUAUUUUUCCAAGCCAUAAAAAUUAUCACUUCAAAGCAGACACUCUGUGAAAAGAAAAUCUGUUCCAAAGUAAUGUAAGGUUAACUGUCUCACAAGGAAGUUAUAUAAAUAUUUUGUGAGAAAGUAAACAAUCCAUUUCUAUUUCAUUGACCUACAUGACUCAUUUCUGUUUAUAUUCACAAUCUGUCUGAUGAUUUUAUGAUAUUUUUUAAGGAGACAUAUUUUUUUUUCCUAUCAAUUUUUUGUUGUCCAUCAUGCCCAAUGCCAUUGUUUUCAUGCCUGCUUCAAAUGCAUAAUGUCACAAUUUCAAUCAAUUCCUUGCAAAAAAUUGCUUAUCAUUUAUCUUGAUUAAAUUAAGGUAUAGUGAGAGUAAAAGAAUAAGAUGACACAAAUUGUACAAGAUUGCAUGAAAUAAUAUUAAAAGUGCCAAUUUAUUGAAAGUUUACAUUGAUAUGUUUAUUUAGUUGUAAUUUCUUUUGUAAUUUGAAAUACCUAAUGAUAUUUUUCAUAUUAGUACAUUCAUAAUGCUAGACAUUUAAAAUAAUUUAGAAUUUAACAUUUUAUUUUUAUUUUUAGGUAAACAGAAAGUGAGGAGUACAUGAGGGGUGAAUGUGAAAAUGAAGAUGACAAUAAUCAAGAAUACAAAUUAAUUGUUACUGUUAUUUAGAAAGUCUGUAAUUGAUUAUAUAUUAAGUAUCAUUGAGUGAAUCUGUCAUUAAAUGUAAAAAAAAAAAUGUUUUUAUGUAGUUAUUAAAAUAGUUUAACAGGGUAAUUAAAUUCUUUUUGUAUGUAGAUUGAUUUGCGUAAGUUUUCCCUUUAAACUGUAACAAAUCAGGGAUCAAAACCAGUUAGAUAUAAAAAAAAACUUUUUUUAUGUUGAUGUAACAGAAAAUAUUUAUAGGUUAGUUCUAUGACAAUGGUGUCACAAAUGUUUAGAUUGAAGCUAGUUGGAAAGUUUUAGUCUGUGUGUCCAUAACUUUGCACAGUAUAAAUCAAACAGGACGCUCAACACAAGUAUUUGCAAAGUUUGCUAUUUAAAAUAACAAGGACAAAAACUUAAACUUAUGUUUAAAGAAGAGACAUGGAAAGGCCC